GCGGGUAUGGCGGAAUUGGUAGACGCACCAGAUUUAGGUUCUGGCGUGAAAACGUGGGGGUUCGAGUCCCUCUACCCGCACCA
rnacentral:tRNA from 13 species